rnacentral:rRNA from 1 species
UAAAGCCAAAGACCUCCUAAGCCGUCAUACGCUCACGGAGGCACGAAGCCCAAACACGAAAGUAGCUUUACCAAACAUGCCCGACUCCACGAAAGCUGGGAAACAAACUGGGAUUAGAUACCCCACUAUGCCCAGCCCUAAACUUAGAUGAAAUUUUACAAAAUCAUCCGCCAGGGGACUACAAGCACAGCUUAAAACCCAAAGGACUUGGCGGUGCCUCAGAUCCACCUAGAGGAGCCUGUUCUAGAACCGAUAACCCCCGUUAAACCUCACCACCCCUUGUUUUUCCCGCCUAUAUACCGCCGUCGCCAGCUUACCCUGUGAAGGUUUAACAGUAAGCAAAAUGGGUUCAACCCAAAACGUCAGGUCGAGGUGUAGCGCAUGGGGUGGGAAGAAAUGGGCUACAUUUUCUACCACAGAAUAUUACGAAUGGUGUCCUGAAAUAUAAUACCUGAAGGAGGAUUUAGUAGUAAAAAGCAAAUAGAGUGUCUUUUUGAAUUAGGCUCUGAGGCGCGCACACACCGCCCGUCACUC